GGUGGGAUAGCGCAGUGGUUAGAGCUUAGGACUUGUAAUCGGAAGUUCCCGGAAUCGAAUCUUGCCA
rnacentral:tRNA from 1 species